rnacentral:SRP_RNA from 1 species
UCGCGCUAAGCGGGGAGCUGGCGGUUCCCUGUACCUGCAAUCCGCCAUAGCAGGGCUGAACUCUGGCUCGAGGCGGGACAGCCGCAAGACCGUCGCGCACGCGCCCGUGAGGAUCAUCGGGACUUACGCAACGGAGGAACGGUGAACCCCGCCAGGUCCGGAAGGAAGCAACGGUAAGUCGUUUCCCCGUGUGCCGUAAGCCCCCCGGUGGGAGCGGGUAGCGACGCGACGCCUUGCCAAGCGCCGUCGACAGCCAGUGCGCGA